GCCCGCCCUUUCCCUCGCGCGCCACUCCCCGGCGGGCAAAAAGACCGAGGCGGGCCUCCGGGGAGGUUGCGGCUGGAAAGGGUGCCUCCGGCCGCACGCCCAUUCUUGUCUACUGACCCGGUUGCCUCGGCGGGCCGCGCCUGCUGUGCUACAGCGGCCGUUCGGGGGGGACGCCUGAGGGGGACUCUUGUUUCCUAGGCCACGCCCCGGGCAGCGCUCGCCGGAGGAUUACUCUGGAAAACACACUCUUGAAAGAACAUACCGUCUGAGCGAGCAACGCAAAUCAGUUAAAACUUUCAACAACGGAUCUCUUGGUUCCGGCAUCGAUGAAGAACGCAGCGAAAUGCGAUAAGUAAUGUGAAUUGCAGAAUUCCGUGAAUCAUCGAAUCUUUGAACGCACAUUGCGCCCCCUGGCAUUCCGGGGGGCAUGCCUGUUCGAGCGUCAUUUCAACCCCUCAAGCCCGGCUUGUGUGAUGGACGACCGUCCCCCCUCCCCAGUAACCACCCACCGCUUAGGGGGGUGGGAGGGAGGGGGACGCGCCCGAAAAGCAGUGGUCAGGCCGCGAUUCCGGCUCCUGGGCGAAUGGGACAUACCACCGCCUCCAGGACCGGCCGGCAGGCUGGCCUAACGCACCAUGUAUUAUUCAGGUUGACCUCGGAUCAGGUAGGGAUACCCGCUGAACUUAAGCAUAUCAUAAAGCCGGAAGGAAGUCGGUGAUUAUAUGGUAUUCCCCAUGGUUCCGCAACACGAGCCCUCCCGAUAAUGAAAUGCCCCCAAUUCCACACCCACACUCGCCUCCUGAUUUUGAGUAGGCCGACG
rnacentral:rRNA from 1 species